AGGAUCAUUACCGAGUUGAUUCGGGCUCCGGCCCGAUCCUCCCACCCUUUGUGUACCUACCUCUGUUGCUUUGGCGGGCCGCGGUCCUCCGCGGCCGCCCCCCUCCCCGGGGGGUGGCCAGCGCCCGCCAGAGGACCAUCAAACUCCAGUCAGUAAACGAUGCAGUCUGAAAAACAUUUAAUAAACUAAAACUUUCAACAACGGAUCUCUUGGUUCUGGCAUCGAUGAAGAACGCAGCGAAAUGCGAUAAGUAAUGUGAAUUGCAGAAUUCAGUGAAUCAUCGAAUCUUUGAACGCACAUUGCGCCCUUUGGUAUUCCGAAGGGCAUGCCUGUUCGAGCGUCAUUACAACCCUCAAGCUCUGCUUGGUAUUGGGCACCGUCCUUUGCGGGCGCGCCUCAAAGACCUCGGCGGUGGCGUCUUGCCUCAAGCGUAGUAGAACAUACAUCUCGCUUCGGAGCGCAGGGCGUCGCCCGCCGGACGAACCUUCUGAACUUUUCUCAAGGUUGACCUCGGAUCAGGUAGGGAUACCCGCUGAACUUAAGCAUAUCAAUAAGCCGGAGGAA
rnacentral:rRNA from 1 species